rnacentral:lncRNA from 1 species
ACCGUUUGGAACGAAUCCAAUAGCUCUGCAUUCAAAUCCACUUGAAUGGCUCAGGUUGGAUAUGUGAAGAUCAAACUAUGAGGAUGAAAGGCAUAAAAAAGAAACCUUAACUUGGUUUCCUCUCAAUCGAAGUGGGAGAGCUGAAUCAAGAAUAAAAGAGAGAGGAGUCAAAAUCAGAGUUAAAGGAGGAAAAAGAGGAGGAGGAGAUUGCAUAACUGCGAUCUCCACUAAAAGGGGAGCUGCUUGCGGUGGCGAUCGGAAGCCGAGGGGAAGAAAAAAAAAGAAAAAGAAUAAUGAAGGAAGGAAGGAAGAAGAAAAUAGGUGGAAGGGGAACGAAAAAUGGGAUCAUCUGCAGUGGCUAUCGCGAGUAAGAGAGAAGAAGGAGAGCACAUCACCACGAUCUCCAUCGGGGAUUCAGGAAGAAGAAAAGGAGAAUCGAAGGAGAGGAGGAAGAAAGAAGGGGGAGUACUCAAGCAGCCAUGGCCGCAAGCAGAGAGGUGGUUAGAGGUACGCGCGAGCCGACGAGAUUUAGGUCACGAGCAGAGGAGGCAUGGGCACUGCGUGCGGGCCUAUUCACUGUGCGAUGGCUUGCAUAGGUGCACAUGGGCAUUCUGUUGCAUCUGUCUAGUGCCAUGCGCGCAUGAUGCCAUGGACUCCAACUCAUCUUUCUUGAUUCUUGAGGACUCUUGAGUUAGAUUUUGUUGGAACUCUUUUAGGUUGCAGUAGGAUUCUUCAAGAGGUCUUCAACCCAUAAAUCUUCCUCUUUGUCAAACUCAUUGGGCUUUUAGGUUACUUUUUGAUGUAGAGUUCUUGUUUCAUUAUUUUAAUAGAUUGUAGAAGAUUUGGAUUCCUCUUUUUUUAGGAAUGGGUUCUCAUUGAUCAAGUCUAUUUCUUUUUGUUGUUGAAUUCCUAAAGAGUAUAGAAGAUGGAUUUCUUUAUGGUCUUAAAGAUCCUUGUUCUUCUCCUCUUCUCUUUCAAAAUGUUUGACUUCAACUAGCAUUGGAAUUUCUUUGUCUAUUUUCUCCUUGAAGGCUUCUUUCUUUUCCUUUUCUUUUUGGAAUCACAACACACAUUCUCCUCCUCCUCAUUGGAUUUAAAAAUCACGAGUCUUAUCCUCCUUUUAUGGUUAAGCCGCUCCUCUCUUGGUAGUGUGAAGGUUUGGCCUCUAGGUGGCAAAAUCGAUUUUGGCCGACCUUUCUUGGCCUCCUUGGGCGGCAGAAAUGCCACACUUGGGUCCUUUAGGACAGGCCUUGAGCUCAAGGCCAUAUUCCCCUCUCGAGUUGGGCUUUGCAAGCCUGUUUUGGGUCGUCUCUCGAUGGGCCGCUCCAUGGGCCUCUACGAUUUGACCUUUAGUUGCUUGGGUAAUUUCCUUGGGCCCUCAUAGACCUUGCCUUGGUUAAGGCUUGCGGGUUGGGCCCUAGGAAAGCCCAACACACUUGGGUUUAAGCCCAUAACUCCUCAACCUUGGGCUUAGGCUUAUAUAGCAUAGGCCAUCCGCGUGGGUACCUGCACGGGCAAGUCCACGGGUUUACGAGUAAGUGACUCGUGGUUUGGUUAUUUCCCCUUGGAUUCCCUCUUGUCUUAUGACUCCUUUUCUGAUUAAGAUUCAUAGCUUUAU